GAAAACAUAGAGAGUCAUAUCAAGAAAUCGGAAAGUAAGAUUAGAGACCUCGAAGAAAACAUAGCAAAUUAUCGUGAAGAAACAUUGAAGAAGAUAAGUCAUCUUGAAGCACUACAUUUGACAGAAACGUUUUGUAUUGA